UAACUAGGAUUCCCUUAGUAGCGGCGAGCGAAGCGGGAAAAGCCCAGCACUUAGCCCAUUAAUUUUGAUUAAUUAACUGGGGAUGCAGUGUAUGGAGAGUUCAUUAGCUUAUUGCAAUAGAUAGUAGAUUCAAGUCCAUCUUGAAUGGGGCCCCUUAUCCCAUAGAGGGUGCCAGGCCCGUAGAAAUUGCUAUCUGCAGUUUGCGAACUUCUCUUAAGAGUCGUGUUGCUUGAUAGUGCAGCAUUAAGUGGGUGGUAAACUCCAUCUAAGGCUAAAUAUAACCACGAGACCGAUAGAGAACAAGUACCGUGAGGGAAAGUUGAAAAGAACUCUGAAUAGAGAGUUAAAAAGUACGUGAAACCGUAUAGGGGUUAAGCCCGUUGAAUCUAAAUAUCCGAUGGAUGAAAUUCAAUACUUUUAAAUUGCUCUUGUGGUGAUUUAAAAAUAUGCACUUUUCAUCUAGUAGGACACUGCAAUCUGUUAGAUUAAAUAUAAUUGCUUGCAUAUUAUAUUUGAACUUAUCAAUGGAAUUCUCUUAGAUUGUUUACAUGUUAUGGUACUCAACAUACCGUUCGGUAAAUCUAUUUAGGAAUUUCGAUAAUGUUUGACUGACAGAUUCCAAAAAAUCAUACAACAUGCAUAUGUAAUUCUCUU
rnacentral:rRNA from 1 species